rnacentral:RNase_P_RNA from 1 species
UGAGUAAGACAGAUGGUCGCGGCUGCGAAUGCCGAAAGGCUGCAGGUGAGGAAAGUCCGGGCUUCACAGGGCAGGAUGCCGGAUAACGUCCGGUAGAGGUGACUCUAAGGAAAGUGCAACAGAAAUAAACCGCCGCGCAAGCGGUAAGGGUGGAAAGGCAGUGUAAGAGACUACCGCCUCGCUGGUAACAGAGAGGGCACAUGUAAACCCCAUCCGAAGCAAGACCGAACAGAAAGCGAUACGGCUGCCCGUCGUGCUUUCGGGUAGGUUGCUAGAGCCGGUUGGCGACAAUUGGAGUAGAUAGAUGACCAUUAAGCAGAUUACUGCGAGACAUAACCCGGCUUAUGGAUUGCUCAAGUA